rnacentral:rRNA from 1 species
UACGGAGGGUGCAAGCGUUGUCCGGAAUCACUGGGCGUAAAGGGUGCGUAGGCGGCGCGGUAAGUCGGGUGUGAAAUCUUGGAGCUUAACUCCGAAACUGCAUUCGAUACUGCCGUGCUUGAGGACUGGAGAGGAGACUGGAAUUUACGGUGUAGCGGUGAAAUGCGUAGAUAUCGUAAGGAAGACCAGUGGCGAAGGCGGGUCUCUGGACAGUUCCUGACGCUGAGGCACGAAGGCCAGGGGAGCAAACAGG